UGGGGAAUCUUGCACAAUGGGGGAAACCCUGAUGCAGCGAUGCCGCGUGAGUGAAGAAGGCCCUUGGGUUGUAAAACUCUUUCGUCGGGGAAGAAAAUGACUGUACCCGAAUAAGAAGGUCCGGCUAACUUCGUGCCAGCAGCCGCGGUAAUACGAAGGGACCUAGCGUAGUUCGGAAUUACUGGGCUUAAAGAGCUCGUAGGUGGUUAAAAAAGUUGAUGGUGAAAUCCCAAGGCUCAACCUUGGAACUGCCAUCAAAACUUUUUAGCUAGAGUGUGAUAGAGGUAAGUGGAAUUUCUAGUGUAGAGGUGAAAUUCGUAGAUAUUAGAAAGAACACCAAAUGCGAAGGCAACUUACUGGGUCACUACUGACACUGAGGAGCGAAAGCAUGGGUAGCGAAGAGGAUUAGAUAC
rnacentral:rRNA from 1 species